CCUACGGGGGGCAGCAGUGAGGAAUAUUGGUCAAUGGCCGGAAGGCUGACCCAGCAAUGCCGCGUGAAGGUCAGUGCCCUAUGGGCGUUAAACUUCUUUUGUGCGGGAGCAAUAAUGGUCACGUGUGGCCAGACGAGAGUACCGUACGAAUAAGCAUCGGCUAACUCCGUGCCAGCAGUCGCGGUAAUACGGGGGAUGCAAGCGUUAUCCGGAUUUAUUGGGUUUAAAGGGUGCGUAGGCUGUGAGGUAAGUCAGCGGUGAAAUGCCCCCGCUCAACGGGGUGAAGUGCCAUUGAUACUGCCGUGCUGGAAUGCGGAUGCCGUGGGAGGAAUGUGUGGUGUAGCGGUGAAAUGCAUAGAUAUCACACAGAACACCGAUUGCGAAGGCAUCUCACGAAUCCGCGAUUGACGCUGAUGCACGAAAGCGUGGGUAUCAAACAGGAUUAGAUACCCGUGUAGUC
rnacentral:rRNA from 1 species